AACAAAAACAUGUCCUUUAGAGUAGUAUUUAAGGUCUAACCUGCCCAUUGAUUUUAUAUUUAACGGCCGCAGUAAUUUGACUGUGCAAAGGUAGCAUAAUCAUUAGUUUUUUAAUUAGAAGCUAGAAUGAAUGGUUGGACGAGAUAAAAACUGUCUCUAUUUAAUUAAUAGAAUUUAAUUUUUAAGUUAAAAAGCUUAAAUAUUAAUAAAAGACGAGAAGACCCUAUAGAUCUUUAUAUAGUUUUUUUUAAUUUAAUUAAUGAUUAAUUAUUAAUUUAAAAAUUUUUAUAUUUUAUUGGGGUAAUAUAAAGAUUUAGAUAAUUCUUUAUUUAUAUAACAUAAAUUAAUGAUUAUAUGAUCCAUUUUUAUUGAUUAUAAGAUUAAGUUACCUUAGGGAUAACAGCGUAAUUUUUUUGGAGAGUUCUUAUCGAUAAAAAAGUUUGCGACCUCGAUGUUG
rnacentral:rRNA from 1 species